rnacentral:piRNA from 1 species
UGCAUAAAUCCUUCACAGGUCUGAGGCCA